UACGUCGGGAGCAAGCGUUGUUCGGAUUUACUGGGCGUAAAGGGCGCGUAGGCGGCGCGGUAAGUCACUUGUGAAAUCUCUGAGCUUAACUCAGAACGGCCAAGUGAUACUGCAGUGCUAGAGUGCAGAAAGGGCAAUCGGAAUUCUUGGUGUAGCGGUGAAAUGCGUAGAUAUCAAGAGGAACACCUGAGGCGAAGGCGGGUUGCUAGGCUGACACUGACGCUGAGUGCGCGAAAGCCAGGGGAGCAAACGGG
rnacentral:rRNA from 1 species